rnacentral:rRNA from 1 species
AUUGAACGCUGGCGGAAUGCUUUACACAUGCAAGUCGAACGGCAGCAUAGGUGCUUGCACCUGAUGGCGAGUGGCGAACGGGUGAGUAAUACAUCGGAACGUGCCCAGUCGUGGGGGAUAACGUAGCGAAAGUUACGCUAAUACCGCAUACGAUCUAAGGAUGAAAGCGGGGGACCGUAAGGCCUCGCGCGAUUGGAGCGGCCGAUGUCAGAUUAGGUAGUUGGUGAGGUAAAGGCUCACCAAGCCGACGAUCUGUAGCUGGUCUGAGAGGGCGACCAGCCACACUGGGACUGAGACACGGCCCAGACUCCUACGGGAGGCAGCAGUGGGGAAUUUUGGACAAUGGGCGCAAGUCUGAUCCAGCCAUUCCGCGUGCAGGACGAAGGCCUUCGGGUUGUAAACUGCUUUUGUACGGAACGAAAAAGCUCUUACUGAUACUAGGAGUCCAUGACGGUACCGUAAGAAUAAGCACCGGCUAACUACGUGCCAGCCGCCGCCGUAA